UCUCUUUGUAUUUGCUCUAGGGGACUUGUAGUAGUAGUUGGUUGUAAAUGGUUAACAGGUUGGGUAUGGGCAUUAACAGGUGUAAAUGCAGGUUUAGUUGGAUCUAAGGGUGUAGUAGGAUUCAAGGGUGUAGUAGGAGUUGAAGGUGUAGUGGGACUUGGGGGUGUAGUGGGAUUUAGGGGUGUAGUGGCAUUUAAGGGUGUAGUAGGAGUUGAAGGUGUAGUGGGAUUUGGGGUUGUAAUAGGAUUCGAGGGUGUAGUGGGACUUGGGGGUGUAGUGGGAUUUAGGGGUGC